rnacentral:rRNA from 1 species
AGGGUUUGAUUCUGGCUCAGGACGAACGCUGGCGGCGUGCUUAACACAUGCAAGUCGAACGAAGCUUGAUUAUGGAAUUCUUCGGAAUGAAGUAUGAUAUGACUUAGUGGCGGACGGGUGAGUAACGCGUGAGUAACCUGCCUUUCAGAGGGGGAUAACGUUUGGAAACGAACGCUAAUACCGCAUGAAAUAUAUUUAAGGCAUCUUAGAUAUAUCAAAGAUUUAUCGCUGAGAGAUGGACUCGCGUCUGAUUAGAUAGUUGGUGAGGUAACGGCUCACCAAGUCGACGAUCAGUAGCCGGACUGAGAGGUUGAACGGCCACAUUGGGACUGAGACACGGCCCAG